GAAGAAAACCAAACGGGGGUUCAAGUUGUUGCCUAGAGCUCUAUGCUUCUAAGCCUGCGUCUUCUUUUCUUUUUUGUCUUUUUGUUUUUCGCUUUCCCAAGAACGAUUAUCGCGAUCCACAGUACAUGUAUACUGUCAGGCAGGAUGUCGUCUGUGAGUUUGCGUGUGUGUGUGUGAAAAGAAACUUA
rnacentral:ribozyme from 1 species